UACGUAGGGAGCUAGCGUUGUCCGGAAUCAUUGGGCGUAAAGCGCGCGUAGGCGGCCCGGUAAGUCCGCUGUGAAAGUCAAAGGCUCAACCUUUGAAUGUCAGGGGAUACUGCCGGGCUAGAGUCCGGAAGAGGCGAGUGGAACUCCUGGUGUAGCGGUGGAAUGCGCAGAUAUCAGGAAGAACACCAACGGCGAAGGCAGCUCGCUGGGACGGAACUGACGCUAAGGCGCGAAAGCGUGGGGAGCGAACAGG
rnacentral:rRNA from 1 species